GUCUAUGUGAAUAUUAAACAAAGGACGCAUUUGAAUUCAUGACAAGAUUAUGUUUUGGUGAUGGUGAUGUGUUUGAACAUCUUAAUUUACUGAACAUUCUAGCUGCUUACAAUCAUUCUAUCUAUAUUGAACUUGGCCUAAGAGUUUCAGUCGAAAAUGUUAGUUAAAAUUUACAAAUUUUAUUAAAAUUGUUAAAAAUUGACUAUAAAGGGCAAUAACUCUUUAUGGGGUCAAUUGACCAUUUAGGUCAUGUUGACUUAUUUUAAGGUCUUACUUUGCUGUACAUUGUUGCUCUUUACAGUUUAU
rnacentral:lncRNA from 1 species